AUCCUCUGGUAGUUCAUGAGCAUGGUGAUUGGGUGUUUCACACACAUGUGAGAUGUGCCGUACUUGAAACUUGUUACCAUGUCUGCACAAUAAGCAUCUGACC